rnacentral:rRNA from 1 species
UACGUAGGGGGCGAGCGUUGUCCGGAGUUACUGGGCGUAAAGCGCACGCAGGCGGUCUGCUAAGUUUGGAGUGACAGUUGGUGGCUUAACUGCCAAAGUGCUUCGAAAACUGACAGACUUGAGGGCUUCAGAGGGACACGGAAUUCCGGGUGGAGUGGUGAAAUGCGCAGAUAUCGGGAGGAACACCGGUGGCGAAGGCGGUUCUCUGGGCCUUACCUGACGCUGAGGAGCGAAAGCGUGGGGAGCGAACAGG